AGGACGAACGUUGGCGGCGUGCCUAACACAUGCAAGUCGAACGUGGCUUAAGUUUACUUAAGUCUAGUGGCGGACGGCAGAGUAAUGCACAGGAACGUACCUCGAGGUGAGGGAUAGCCCUUCGAAAGAAGGGGUAAUACCACAUGUGCUCGCAAGAGCAAAGCCGCAAGGCGCCAUGAGAACGGCCUGUGUCCUAUCAGGUAGUUGGUGAGGUAAAGGCUCACCAAGCCUAUGACGGGUAGCUGGUCUGAGAGGAUGAUCAGCCUGAUCGGGACUGAGACACGGCCCGAACUCCUACGGGAGGCAGCAGUUGGGAAUUUUGCACAAUGGACGAAAGUCUGAUGCAGCGACGCCGCGUGGAGGAUGAAGGUCUUCGGAUCGUAAACUCUUUACUUGGGAAUAAUUUAAUGAAGGUACCAAGUGAAUAAGCACCGGCUAACUCCGCGCCAGCAGCCGC
rnacentral:rRNA from 1 species